AGCGGGGUGGAGCAGUGGUAGCUUGGUGGGCUCAUUCCCCAAAGGUCGUAGGUUCGAAUCCUACCCCCGCAA
rnacentral:tRNA from 1 species